UACGGAGGGUGCAAGCGUUAAUCGGAAUUACUGGGCGUAAAGCGUGCGCAGGCGGUUUGUUAAGUCCGUUGUGAAAGCCCCGAGCUCAACUUGGGAAUUGCAGUGGAUACUGGCAGGCUGGAGUACGGUAGAGGAAGGUGGAAUUCCCGGUGUAGCAGUGAAAUGCGUAGAUAUCGGGAGGAACACCAGUGGCGAAGGCGGCCUUCUGGACCAGUGCUGACGCUCAUGCACGAAAGCGUGGGGAGCAAACAGG
rnacentral:rRNA from 1 species